rnacentral:rRNA from 1 species
GAUGAACGCUAGCGGCAGGCCUAAUACAUGCAAGUCGAACGAGAUUAAGGGGCUUGCUCCUUAUGAAAGUGGCGCACGGGUGCGUAACGCGUAUGCAACCUACCUCAAUCAGGGGGAUAGCCCGAAGAAAUUCGGAUUAACACCGCAUAACAACACAUUACAGCAUUGUGGUAUGUUCAAAUAUUUAUAGGAUUGAGAUG